UACGUAGGUGGCAAGCGUUGUCCGGAAUUAUUGGGCGUAAAGCGCGCGCAGGUGGUUUCUUAAGUCUGAUGUGAAAGCCCACGGCUCAACCGUGGAGGGUCAUUGGAAACUGGGGAACUUGAGUGCAGGAGAGAAGAGUGGAAUUCCACGUGUAGCGGUGAAAUGCGUAGAGAUGUGGAGGAAUACCGGUGGCGAAGGCGGCAUCCUGGACCGGCAUUGACGCUGAGGAGCGAAAGCUAGGGGAGCAAACGGG
rnacentral:rRNA from 1 species